GAGGGUAUAGCUCAGUAGUAGAGUGUGUGCCUAGCAUGCUCAAGGUCCUGGUUCAAUCCUCAAUAUCUUCA
rnacentral:tRNA from 1 species